UACGUCCACACCUUUUAGGUGUGGAUCAGUUGACUGUCAUACUUCCAAGAAAAGCUCGAACUACUGUAAAGCAUCACGUACCUGUACCGUAAACCGACACAGGUGGGUUGGUAGAGUAUACCAAGGGGCGCGAGAUAACUCUCUCUAAGGAACUCGGCAAAAUGACCCCGUAACUUCGGGAGAAGGGGUGCCAAGUAACUCAAAUUGCUUGGUCGCAGUGACCAGGCCCUGGCGACUUUUUAUCAAAAACACAGGUCUCCGCAAAGUCGUAAGACAACAUAUGGGGGCUGACGCCUGCCCAGUGCCGGAAGGUUAAAGAAGUUGGUUAUUCACUCGUGGAGAAGCUGACGACUGAAGCCCCGGUGAACGGCGGCCGUAACGAUAACGGUCCUAAGGUAGCGAAAUUCCUUGUCGGGUAAGUUCCGACCCGCACGAAAGGCGUAACGAUCAGGGCACUGUCUCGGAGAGAGACUCGGUGAAAUAGACAUGUCUGUGAAGAUGCGGACUACCUGCACCUGGACAGAAAGACCCUAUGAAGCUUGACUGUAGCCUGGAAUUGGGUUCGGGCUCUUCUUGCGCAGCCUAGGUGGGAGGCGUUGAAGGCUUUCUUUUGGGGAAGCUGGAGCCAUCAGUGAGAGACCACUCUGGAGGAGCUAGAAUUCUAAUGGCGUUCCUUGAAGCAGGACGCUUGACAGUUUCAGGUGGGCAGUUUGACUGGGGCGGUCACCUCCUAAAAGGUAACGGAGGUGUGCAAAGGUUCCCUCAGGCUGGACGGAAAUCAGCCGUAGAGUGUAAAGGCAGAAGGGAGCUUGACUGCAAGACCUACAAGUCGAGCAGGGGCGAAAGCCGGCCUUAGUGAUCCGACGGUUCCAUGUGGAAGGGCCGUCGCUCAACGGAUAAAAGUUACUCUAAGGAUAACAGGCUGAUCUUCCCCAAGAGUUCACAUCGACGGGAAGGUUUGGCACCUCGAUGUCGGCUCAUCGCAACCUGGGGCGGUAGUACGUCCCAAGGGUUGGGCUGUUCGCCCAUGAAAGCGGUACGUGAGCUGGGUUCAGAACGUCGUGAGACAGUUCGGUCCAUAUCCGGUGUAGGCGUUAGAGCAUUGAGAGGAGUCUUCCAUAGUACGAGAGGACCUGGAAGAACACACCUCUGGUAUACCAGUUAUCAUGCCAAUGGUAGACGCUGGGUAGCCAUGUGUGGAGUGGAUAACCGCUGAAAGCAUCUAAGUGGGAAGCCCACCUCAAGAUGAGUGCUCUCCAUUAGGUCACAGGAAGACAACCUGUUUGAUAGGCAUAAGGUGUAAGGCUAGUAAUAGUUUCAGCUGAUCUGUACUAAUAGACC
rnacentral:rRNA from 1 species